GGGAAAUCCAGACACAGGAAGUCGGGGGUGGAGUCUUAGUAUCUCUGAGAGAGGGCGGGACUAGAGGAAGCCACUAGCAUACAAAGUACAGUUUCUCAUAGCCAGAGGAAGGUUGACACGUGGGAUCCACAAGCUCUGGGUCCCCGGCCCUUUUAGAGCCAGAGGGCAAAGGGCAGGACAAUACCUCAUGGCUUCCAGCCAUAUGCUUGCUGGAAGUCCCAGGUGCACUCAGAUUGCUUGGAGUUGGGCCAGCUCUGAAGAGAAGUCAAAGCCAUCCAAGCCAAGAAGGGCUAGCAUUUCUGCUAAGAGAGCAGACCACGCACAAACAGAGGAGACCAAAAACGAGUGAAGAGGACUGAAGAUGCACCAACAUAAAAAGUCUUUGUCUGCUGGAGACGGCAUUACCUGUGACCUUGCUUCACUUCAUACAUGGCUGUUGUAGCAGGGAUUGAACUCACAACUGCCUGCUUGGAAGACAGGCGCUUAUGCCACUGAGCUAAAUCCCCAGCCCAAUACAAAACUUUAUGACUUCGCUUGUUUCUUGGCAUGGAUCCCCAACACUUGACCCUUCAAUUUCAGAAGCCAAUUUGAAACAAAGGGGCAGAAUGCUGCAGGAAGAAAGUGGAAAUGACAAGACUUGGGUCAUGUGAAUGUUGAGUGUGGCUCUUAAGAGUUUCAGGAAGAUCACCUGAAGUUCAAGGCCAUUUUGGGCUACAGAAGUGAAGACCAGCAUGGAAUAUAUAGAGAGAACCUGUCUCAACCAAACAACAGCAAAACAAACAAAAAUGAACAAGAAUUUAUGACAUGGAUCCCUGAGGUUCUGUCAUCAAUACCAGGAAGCCAAUUUGAUGAUCAAGAGAAAGCACAGGAGAUAAAAUGUUGAGUGAAGAACAUUAAUGGAAUGAUUUUGGACGUCUAAAAUUGAUUUUGCAAAGACAAUCCAACUAAUAAUAGCAUAGAUACCUGUGGCUUGGUCAUCAAUGCCAAGAAGAGAAUGUGAUGAUCAAGAACAAUCUCUGGAGAUAGAAUGAUGGGUGAAGAACAGUAACAGGAAGAGUGGACACUUGAAAGUGGUUCCAGAAAAGAAAAGCUGCUGCUGAGUUCCAUUUGGAAAGAAAAAAAAAAAAAAAAAAAAAAGUUGCCUGAUGACUGCAUUGUUCCCUGUGCCUUGGUCAUCAAUACCAAGAAGACAAUUUGAUGAUCUAGAGCAAUCUGGCUUGAUCAUUCUAUGUCUCUUGGAGGUAGAAUGCUGGCUGAAGAAGAACAAUAAGAGGAAGACUGGACCUUUGAAACUGGUUCCAGAUUAAGAAUGGCUGGUGCUGAGUUUCAUUAGGAAAAAACCAAAAAGGAAUGAAGAAAGAAAGAAAAAGACAAGCUGUCUGAUGACAAUCCCUGUGGCUUGGCCAUCAAUACCAAGAAGAAAAUUUGAUGAUCAAGAGAAUUCUCUGGAGGUAGAAUAUUGAGGGAAGAAGAACAAUAACAGGAAGACUGGAUAUUUGAAAGUGAUUCCAGAAAACAAAAGCUAGUGCUGGUUCAAUUUGGAAAAACAAAAACAAAAUGAAGGAAGAAAGAAUAAGACCAGCUGUCUGAUGACAGCAUUGAUCCCUGUGGCUUGGUCAUCAAUACCAAGAAGACAAUUUGAUGAUCAAGAGCAAUCUCUCUUGAUCAUUCUACCUCUCUUGGAGGUAGAAUGCUGGGUGAAGAAGGACAAUAAGAGGAAGACUGGAGCUUUGAAACUGGUUCUAGAAAAAAAAGGCUGGUGCUGAGUUCCAUUUGGAAAACAACAACAACAACAAAAAGGAAUGAAGAAAGAAAAAUACAAGCUGUCUGAUGACUGCAUUGAUCCCUGUGGCUUGGUCAUCAAUACCAAGAAGACAAUUUGAUGAUCAAGAGCAAUCUCUCUUGAUCAUUCUACCUCUCUUGGAGGUAGAAUGCUGGGUGAAGAAGGACAAUAAGAGGAAGACUGGAGCUUUGAAACUGGUUCUAGAAAAAAAAGGCUGGUGCUGAGUUCCAUUUGGAAAACAACAACAACAAAAAAAAGGAAUGAAGAAAGAAACAAAAUGACAAGCUGUCUGAGGACCGUGAGUAGUUUAGA